rnacentral:rRNA from 1 species
AUACGUAGGGAGCGAGCGUUGUCCGGAAUUACUGGGCGUAAAGGGCGCGUAGGCGGCGCUUCAAGUCGUCUGUCAAAUGGGAGGGCUUAACCCUUUUUCGCAGACGAAACUGGAGAGCUUGAGAAGCAGAGAGGCAAACAGAAUUCCUGGUGUAGCGGUGAAAUGCGUAGAUAUCAGGAAGAAUACCAGUGGCGAAGGCGGUUUGCUGGCUGCAUACUGACGCUGAAGCGCGAAAGCCAGGGGAGCAAACGGGAUUAGAUACCCCGGUAGUCCUGGCAGUAAACGAUGUAUGCUGGGUGAGAGACUAGCGAUAGUUUCGUGCCGAAGUUAACGCGAUAAGCAUACCGCCUGGGGAGUACGGUCGCAAGAUUGAAACUCAAAUGAAUUGACGGGG